rnacentral:rRNA from 1 species
UACGUAGGGGGCGAGCGUUGUCCGAAUUUACUGGGCGUAAAGCGCGCGUAGGCUGUUUCUUAAGUCUGGGGUGAAAGGUUCAACGCUCAACGUGAACAGUGCCUUGGAUACUGGGAGACUUGAGUCUGGGAGGGGGUAGUGGAAUUCCUGGUGUAGCGGUGAAAUGCGUAGAUAUCAGGAGGAACACCGGUGGCGAAGGCGGCUACCUGGCCUAAGACUGACGCUGAGGUGCGAAAGCGUGGGGAGCGAACGGG